rnacentral:piRNA from 1 species
UAGAAUACAGAGGUUGGACUAAAUUUAA